GACGAACGCUGGCGGCGUGCUUAACACAUGCAAGUCGAACGGAAAGGCCCUGCUUUUGUGGGGUGCUCGAGUGGCGAACGGGUGAGUAACACGUGAGUAACCUGCCCUUGACUUUGGGAUAACUUCAGGAAACUGGGGCUAAUACCGGAUAGGAGCUCCUGCUGCAUGGUGGGGGUUGGAAAGUUUCGGCGGUUGGGGAUGGACUCGCGGCUUAUCAGCUUGUUGGUGAGGUAGUGGCUUACCAAGGCUUUGACGGGUAGCCGGCCUGAGAGGGUGACCGGCCACAUUGGGACUGAGAUACGGCGCAGUCUCCUACGGGAGGCAGUAGGGGGGAAUAUUGCGCAAUGGGCGGAAGCCUGAGGCAGCAACGCCGCGUGCGGGAUGACGGUCUUCGGGUUGUAAACCGCUUUCGCCGGUGACGAAGCGUGAGUGACGGUAAUGGGUAAAGAAGCACCGGCUAACUACGUG
rnacentral:rRNA from 1 species